AAGACUAUACUUUCAGGGAUCAUUUCUAUAGUUUGUUACUGAUGACACACGUGUGAGUUUUACAGCUCACAGGACGGGUUUAGGGGUUGAGG
rnacentral:snoRNA from 1 species